CCUGUGUGUGUAAUAAACACCCUGAAUGUAAACACCCUGUGUGUGUAAUAAACACCCUGAAUGCUCCAGGAGAUUGUGCUCACUCAGUAAUCUCUCCUCUCCAAAAGAAACUUGUUGGAAUAGAUCUUCCAGGUUUGCAAAGGACUUGAUAUCCAUCUCCUGACAGACAAAAAGGAAUUUUCCACUGCUGCUGGAGCAGUGGGAGAGCAGAUGGCUGAGCUCUGGGAAAGGCAGUGACUCCUUGGUGCAGCACAGGAGAAGGUAGAGUGAGACAGUGUCCCCAGAGCCAGGGUGCCCUCGGGGUGACACACACGGGAGGGCAGCUUCACCAGCACCUGGCAAAGAGUUGCAAUCCCAUUAGGAAUGCCACUAAGAUGAAGGGCUUUCAUCUCUUACCCAUAUAAUAAAGGAGAGUAUCCAGCUGCAUAAAAAGAUAAGGCAAUAUAGAUGAUCUGAGUGAUAAUUUAGAUGGGGAUCAGCAGUUUAUAUCUUCAGCAGCAGUCCAUGGGGAGGUACAAAAACCAUCUGCACCCUAAGCAUGCAAUGCUACUCUACUCAUCAGUUAUUUACUGCAAGCUCCUCUUUAAUCCUGUGUGUGGUAUUACCAUUGAUCAGAAACCCCAGCUCAGCUCAGCAAGUAUUGGAUGUCUCACUUUCUUCAAAAUCAGUCUGGAAACCUUCCCAGGGAUGCAUCUGCUCCUUUAAUUUGCCACAGAGAUGAAGAAUUUGUGAAGAAAAUUAAA